AAGGCAGUACUUGGUUAGAAGUCAAAAUACUGCUGCGCUUAAAGGCAAUAAUGCUCAUCUUUACUAGAAACUUUAGAUUGACUACAACACGAACUAUAUGUGCUAUCAAGUCAAAAUACUAAGGAACUUAAGGAAGGCUAGCUUCAAAAGCCACUCUCGACAA